rnacentral:rRNA from 1 species
AACGAACGUUAGCGGCGCGCCUAACACAUGCAAGUCGAACGCGACUGGGGGCAACUCCAGUUGAGUGGCGCACGGGUGAGUAACACGUAGGUAAUCUCCCCUCGAGUGGUGGAUAACCUUCCGAAAGGAGGGCUAAUACAGCAUAAGACCACGGCCUCGAAAGAGGCUGAGAUCGAAGCGGAGGAUCGCAAGACUUCGCGCUUGAGGAUGAGCCUGCGGCCCAUCAGGUAGUUGGCGGAGUAACAGCCCACCAAGCCUAAGACGGGUAGCUGGUCUGAGAGGAUGAUCAGCCACACUGGAACUGAGACACGGUCCAGACUCCUACGGGUGGCAGCAGUGGGGAAUCUUGCGCAAUGGACGAAAGUCUGACGCAGCGACGCCGCGUGGGUGAUGAAGGCCUUCGGGUUGUAAAGCCCUGUGGGGAGGGACGAAUAAGUUGCAGCUAAUACCUGCAGCGAUGACGGUACCUCCUUAGCAAGCACCGGCUAACUCUGUGCCAGCAGCCGCCGUAA